CAUGGAUUUCAAGGUACUUCUGACCACAAGAUAUUGUAAAUUUCCAGCAAAACGCAAGCUAAAUGAGUCUGUUUAAAGAUCAAAGACUAAGACAGAUUGAAACUUUGAUCUUCGCAAUACUGCCUGAGUUUCAAGUGGCAUGAUAGCGCUUUGCUUCUUCAUCAUGACUCUGCUUUUCCACCAACGCAUACGAUCUGCCAAACCAAAGGUGGUUUUUAGACUAACAGGCAAGGCUAAUGAGGAAUCAUCAACUAAAGUGUGUCUGGCAAGUCUUUGGGUUUUUCCAAACCUUCUCCGAUGUUAAACUUACCAUGAAGCUGUGCAGUGC
rnacentral:lncRNA from 1 species